rnacentral:rRNA from 1 species
CGAGUCUGACGGAGCACGCCGCGUGAGUGAUGAAGGUUUUCGGAUCGUAAAACUCUGUUGUUAGGGAAGAACAAGUGCGAGAGUAACUGCUCGCACCUUGACGGUACCUAACCAGAAAGCCACGGCUAACUACGUGCCAGCAGCCGCGGUAAUACGUAGGUGGCAAGCGUUGUCCGGAAUUAUUGGGCGUAAAGCGCGCGCAGGCGGUUUCUUAAGUCUGAUGUGAAAGCCCCCGGCUCAACCGGGGAGGGUCAUUGGAAACUGGGAAACUUGAGUGCAGAAGAGGAGAGUGGAAUUCCACGUGUAGCGGUGAAAUGCGUAGAGAUGUGGAGGAACACCAGUGGCGAAGGCGACUCUCUGGUCUGUAACUGACGCUGAGGCGCGAAAGCGUGGGGAGCGAACAGGAUUAGAUACCCUGGUAGUCCACGCCGUAAACGAUGAGUGCUAAGUGUUAGAGGGUUUCCGCCCUUUAGUGCUGCAGCUAACGCAUUAAGCACUCCGCCUGGGGAGUACGGUCGCAAGACUGAAACUCA